rnacentral:rRNA from 1 species
UACGGGGGGAGCAAGCGUUGUUCGGAUUUACUGGGCGUAAAGGGCGCGUAGGCGGCCAGCGCAAGUCAGUUGUGAAAUCUCCGGGCUUAACUCGGAACGGUCAACUGAUACUGCGCGGCUAGAGUGCAGAAGGGGCAACUGGAAUUCUCGGUGUAGCGGUGAAAUGCGUAGAUAUCGAGAGGAACACCUGCGGCGAAGGCGAGUCUCUGGACAGUUACCGACGCUGAGGCACGAAGGUCAGGGGAGCAAACGGG